UAAGUUUGUCGGGAUCAACUUCUAGUGUUGCAUGACCAUAUACAGUCUCCAAUCCAGUGUGUAUAUUCCUCUGAUAUAUAAUUAAUUUAAAACGCUUUACGUUUGUAAUCUCCAUCUGAUACGUUUCUUUCCAAUUGGGAACUAGCUCGUCAUAAACAUCUCGAGUAUGUACACAAAAUUCCGACUCAGGAUCUUGGAGCAAAACAGAGAAUGAAUAUGGGGCCUUUGGGG